rnacentral:lncRNA from 1 species
CUGAGGGCCAUCUCACCCCCUACAAAAGGCGCCAAAAAUUUGGUUCAGUCCGCACCAGCACGACACAGCAUUAGAAUCUGUCAGCUAAUCUACUGACCAGUGACCUUGUAAUGUCUUCCCACAAGAGAGUAAAGUCCCCGGACGAUGAAAGAGAGGAAAGAAAGAGAGGGACAACAAACCAAGGGGAAACAACUGUUUAAAAAGAAAGAUAUGCCCCAACCACAAAAGACGCAUGAAACUUUGCAUAAAGACAAAAAAUAAGAGGACGCCCUGGAACCGCCCGCGGGGACCCCCCGGAACGUCGCCGCGCCGCCGCCCGCCCGCGGGUAAGUGCAUGGCAACCCCAUAUUUCAAAAAGAUUCACCGUAGACUCGAGGGAUUCUGAAGUUAAUCUGUCUUUUGAAAUUGUUCACUUGUACGGCUGUAGUCGGUACAGAGGAGCGCUUUUCUUAGGACCAUUUAAGUGAGGACAUGUCGGGAAAGUGAAGGGGCACUUUCUGACACCAACU